ACGGGACCCGCACAAGUGGUGGAGCAUGUGGUUUAAUUCGAAGAUACACGAAGAACCUUACCUGGCCUUGACAUGGUAGGAACCCUGUAGAGAUACGGGGGUGCUAGCUUGCUAGAGCCUACACACAGGUGCUGCACGGCUGUCGUCAGCUCGUGUCGUGAGAUGUUGGGUUAAGUCCCGCAACGAGCGCAACCCUCGUCCUUAGUUGCUAACGGUUCGGCCGAGCACUCUAGGGAGACUGCCUUCGCAAGGAGGAGGAAGGUGAGGACGACGUCAAGUCAUCAUGGCCCUUACGGCCAGGGCUACACACGUGCUACAAUGGGGCGUACAGAGAGCUGCGGUACCGCGAGGUGGAGCCAAUCUCUUAAAGCGUCUCUCAGUUCGGAUUGGAGUCUGCAACUCGACUCCAUGAAGUUGGAAUCGCUAGUAAUCGCGGAUCAGCCAUGCCGCGGUGAAUACGUUCCCGGGCCUU
rnacentral:rRNA from 1 species